rnacentral:rRNA from 1 species
AGUCUAUUCAGAGGAACCUGUCCUGUAAUUGAUAAUCCACGAUGUACCUUACUUAAAUUUGCUUUUCAGUUUAUAUACCGUCGUUAUCAGAAUAUUUUAUUAGAAUAAUAAUUUUCUAUAAUUUUUAUGAGAAUUUAUAUCAGAUCAAGGUGUAGCUUAUAUUUAAGAAGAGAUGGGUUACAAUAAAUUUAUUUAAAUGGAUCUGAUUUUGAAAUGUUUAGUGAAGGUGGAUUUGACAGUAAAAUUUUAAAGAUUGUUAAUUUGAUUUUAGCUCUAAAAUAUGCACACAUCGCCCGUCGCUCUUGCUAUUAAGGUAAGAUAAGUCGUAACAUAGUAGAUGUACCGGAAGGUGUAUCUAGAAUGA